CAGCAGCCACGGUAAUACGUAGGGUGCAAGCGUUAAUCGGAAUUACUGGGCGUAAAGCGUGCGCAGGCGGUUAUAUAAGACAGAUGUGAAAUCCCCGGGCUCAACCUGGGAACUGCAUCCAAAACUGGCAAGCUAGAGUAUGGUAGAGGGUGGUGGAAUUUCCUGUGUAGCGGUGAAAUGCGUAGAUAUUCGGAAGAACACCAGUGGCGAAGGCGGCUCACUGGACGCGUAUUGACGCUGAGGUGCGAAAGCGUGGGGAGCAAACAGGAUUAGAUACCCCUGUAGUCCCUGUCUCUUAUAC
rnacentral:rRNA from 1 species